UUAAGCGACUAAGCGUACACGGUGGAUGCCCUGGCAGUCAGAGGCGAUGAAGGACGUGCUAAUCUGCGAUAAGCGUCGGUGAGGUGAUAUGAACCGUUAUAACCGGCGAUUUCCGAAUGGGGAAACCCAGUGUGAUUCGUCACACUAUCAUUAACUGAAUCCAUAGGUUAAUGAGGCGAACCGGGGGAACUGAAACAUCUAAGUACCCCGAGGAAAAGAAAUCAACCGAGAUUCCCCCAGUAGCGGCGAGCGAACGGGGAGGAGCCCAGAGCCUGAAUCAGUGUGUGUGUUAGUGGAAGCGUCUGGAAAGGCGCGCGAUACAGGGUGACAGCCCCGUACACAAAAAUGCACAUACUGUGAGCUCGAUGAGUAGGGCGGGACACGUGGUAUCCUGUCUGAAUAUGGGGGGACCAUCCUCCAAGGCUAAAUACUCCUGACUGACCGAUAGUGAACCAGUACCGUGAGGGAAAGGCGAAAAGAACCCCGGCGAGGGGAGUGAAAAAGAACCUGAAACCGUGUACGUACAAGCAGUGGGAGCCUCUUAAUGGGGUGACUGCGUACCUUUUGUAUAAUGGGUCAGCGACUUAUAUUCUGUAGCAAGGUUAACCGAAUAGGGGAGCCGAAGGGAAACCGAGUCUUAACUGGGCGUUAAGUUGCAGGGUAUAGACCCGAAACCCGGUGAUCUAGCCAUGGGCAGGUUGAAGGUUGGGUAACACUAACUGGAGGACCGAACCGACUAAUGUUGAAAAAUUAGCGGAUGACUUGUGGCUGGGGGUGAAAGGCCAAUCAAACCGGGAGAUAGCUGGUUCUCCCCGAAAGCUAUUUAGGUAGCGCCUCGUGAAUUCAUCUCCGGGGGUAGAGCACUGUUUCGGCAAGGGGGUCAUCCCGACUUACCAACCCGAUGCAAACUGCGAAUACCGGAGAAUGUUAUCACGGGAGACACACGGCGGGUGCUAACGUCCGUCGUGAAGAGGGAAACAACCCAGACCGCCAGCUAAGGUCCCAAAGUCAUGGUUAAGUGGGAAACGAUGUGGGAAGGCCCAGACAGCCAGGAUGUUGGCUUAGAAGCAGCCAUCAUUUAAAGAAAGCGUAAUAGCUCACUGGUCGAGUCGGCCUGCGCGGAAGAUGUAACGGGGCUAAACCAUGCACCGAAGCUGCGGCAGCGACGCUUAUGCGUUGUUGGGUAGGGGAGCGUUCUGUAAGCCUGUGAAGGUGGCCUGUGAGGGUUGCUGGAGGUAUCAGAAGUGCGAAUGCUGACAUAAGUAACGAUAAAGCGGGUGAAAAGCCCGCUCGCCGGAAGACCAAGGGUUCCUGUCCAACGUUAAUCGGGGCAGGGUGAGUCGACCCCUAAGGCGAGGCCGAAAGGCGUAGUCGAUGGGAAACAGGUUAAUAUUCCUGUACUUGGUGUUACUGCGAAGGGGGGACGGAGAAGGCUAUGUUGGCCGGGCGACGGUUGUCCCGGUUUAAGCGUGUAGGCUGGUUUUCCAGGCAAAUCCGGAAAAUCAAGGCUGAGGCGUGAUGACGAGGCACUACGGUGCUGAAGCAACAAAUGCCCUGCUUCCAGGAAAAGCCUCUAAGCAUCAGGUAACAUCAAAUCGUACCCCAAACCGACACAGGUGGUCAGGUAGAGAAUACCAAGGCGCUUGAGAGAACUCGGGUGAAGGAACUAGGCAAAAUGGUGCCGUAACUUCGGGAGAAGGCACGCUGAUAUGUAGGUGAAGCGACUUGCUCGUGGAGCUGAAAUCAGUCGAAGAUACCAGCUGGCUGCAACUGUUUAUUAAAAACACAGCACUGUGCAAACACGAAAGUGGACGUAUACGGUGUGACGCCUGCCCGGUGCCGGAAGGUUAAUUGAUGGGGUUAGCGGUAACGCGAAGCUCUUGAUCGAAGCCCCGGUAAACGGCGGCCGUAACUAUAACGGUCCUAAGGUAGCGAAAUUCCUUGUCGGGUAAGUUCCGACCUGCACGAAUGGCGUAAUGAUGGCCAGGCUGUCUCCACCCGAGACUCAGUGAAAUUGAACUCGCUGUGAAGAUGCAGUGUACCCGCGGCAAGACGGAAAGACCCCGUGAACCUUUACUAUAGCUUGACACUGAA
rnacentral:rRNA from 2 species